rnacentral:rRNA from 1 species
AUUGAACGCUGGCGGCAGGCCUAACACAUGCAAGUCGAGCGGAUGAAGGGAGCUUGCUCCUGGAUUCAGCGGCGGACGGGUGAGUAAUGCCUAGGAAUCUGCCUGGUAGUGGGGGAUAACGUCCGGAAACGGGCGCUAAUACCGCAUACGUCCUGAGGGAGAAAGUGGGGGAUCUUCGGACCUCACGCUAUCAGAUGAGCCUAGGUCGGAUUAGCUAGUUGGUGGGGUAAAGGCCUACCAAGGCGACGAUCCGUAACUGGUCUGAGAGGAUGAUCAGUCACACGGGAACUGGGACACGGUCCAGACUCCUACGGGAGGCAGCAGUGGGGAAUAUUGGACAAUGGGCGAAAGCCUGAUCCAGCCAUGCCACGUGUGUGAAGAAGGUCUUCGGAUUGUAAAGCACUUUAAGUUGGGAGGAAGGGCAGUAAGUUAAUACCUUGCUGUUUUGACGUUACCAACAGAAUAAGCACCGGCUAACUUCGUG